rnacentral:rRNA from 1 species
AUGGCGGCUGAGCUCCUCCAUGGACUGCUGCGUUUCCAGGAGAUAGAGAAGGACGGAAGGAAGGGAGAGGAGGAAGGGCAGGGGUGCGGCGGCCUCGACGGCCACAUGCACGAUGAUUCGGUCAACACAUUGGGAUCCUAUAGUUUUCAUCCUCCUGGAAACGGCAGCUCCUCGACGCCGGCAUCCACUUCUUGCAAGAUUCAUAUUGGUUCGUCUUGGUUCGAGCCAUAUAAGCCCGUGGAUCGACCCGGCGGAGCUGAAUCUGAAGCACUGGAUAGGGAGACACCCCUUCGUGUAUGCCUGGAUAGCGAUGCACCACCAGAGAUAGAGUAUUAUGACCUGUCCCAUGAGUUCGACGUGAAGAUGCUGCACCCGGUCAGGGAUGACGACCUGCAGGUGUUCUCCGUGAGAUUCAACAAGGUCUUUGGCAAAUGCCAGGGCCUGGGCAAUGUCUGCUUCCUACAUGGCAUCUCGAUGCGGAAUGGGAGGCUUUGUGUAGCGAUGAGGUUUUCCGAAGGAUCCAUCGGGGAUAGGAUGGCUCAACUUAAAGGUGGAAGGCUCCCUUUGUCAGAUGUUUUAAGAUGCAAAUGA